AGGCCUGGUCCCCUCCUCGGGUAUACUUCUUCUUCUGUCACGCCGUCUACAGGGAACUUUGUUAUCGCCCUUUCAUACUGUGAUGACCCUAUUUCAGUGACAAAUCCUAACUAGCAGUCCUAGGUAUCCAAGGUCCGAAGCUAUGACUAACGCGCCGACAAACAAAAGGUGACUGACCGGACCGAACCGAACCGUAUAAAAGUCAGACAUGUCAAGAUACGAAUGCGGAGCGGCGAGCACACAACGAACGAUGACAGGACCUCCCUCCCUCCCACUCUCUCAAAGCACCAUGAUCGUUUCGUUUCCAACAAUCAAGCUCAAAGUGCUUACUGCGUACUGCCGUACGAGGGGUACGUAUAUUACAUACCUCCCUCGAUAUCACCUUAUACAGCAUCCCACAUUUUACCGUGUUUGGUACGGUGGCUGGUAUUAUGGAUGGGUCGCCUUAUCAGCACAGGGAAGGGUUCCAUCGCUGCUUCUAGAAGCUCUGCAGCUAUAUCGCCCGGAUAAUAUAGGCCAAAUCAGGGGGGGGGGGGGGGGGGGCGGACGGCAGGCUCCAUGUACACUACAUACGUACAUACGUCCUGUAUGUAUGGAACUGUGAGAUCAGGAAAGUGCAUAUGUACCGUGUCCUCAUGUCAGAACUACUGGAUCACAGGACUUCCAAUGGGGCAGAUGCUGGUGAGCGACAUUGUCCUUUGUCGCUAGCGUUCGACAACGGAGACCUGUCCCUUCUAGUUCAUUCUUGUAUCACCGAAAACCGC